rnacentral:rRNA from 1 species
CCUACGGGAGGCAGCAGUGGGGAAUAUUGGACAAUGGGCGAAAGCCUGAUCCAGCCAUGCCGCGUGUGUGAAGAAGGCCUUCGGGUUGUAAAGCACUUUCAGUGGGGAAGAAAGCCUUGGGGCUAAUACCCUCGAGGAAGGACAUCACCCACAGAAGAAGCACCGGCUAACUCCGUGCCAGCAGCCGCGGUAAUACGGAGGGUGCGAGCGUUAAUCGGAAUUACUGGGCGUAAAGCGCGCGUAGGCGGUCUGAUAAGCCGGUUGUGAAAGCCCCGGGCUCAACCUGGGAACGGCAUCCGGAACUGUCAGGCUAGAGUGCAGGAGAGGAAGGUAGAAUUCCCGGUGUAGCGGUGAAAUGCGUAGAGAUCGGGAGGAAUACCAGUGGCGAAGGCGGCCUUCUGGACUGACACUGACGCUGAGGUGCGAAAGCGUGGGUAGCAAACAGGAUUAGAUCCCCUAGUAGUC